CUUUCUCACAAUCUGUCAGAUGCCUCCAAAGGCCCUGAGGUGAUAACUACAGGAUAAAAAUAUUCACUUAAAUUAGUGGUUUUCAACACUGGCUGUAAAACAGAAUCAUAUGUGGGUUCUUAAAAGACUGAUGCUAGGGGCUUAUCCCAGACCAAUGGAAAUGGACUCUCUGGAGGUGAAAACCAGGUAAACUGGCCUCAAAAAAGUGGAUAAUAUUCUAACAUGGGAAUGCAAAACCAUCAUGCCUGGAAGAUCACUGCAUCAAGGAAAAAAAUUUUCAGCCUGACCAAUAUGGAGAAACCCCAUCUCUACUAAAAAUACAGAAUUAGAGGAGAGUAGGUUCCAAGAUGGCCAAAUAGGAACAGCUCCAGUCUACAGCUCCCAGCGUGAGCAACGCAGAAGACGGGUGACUUCUGCACUUCCAACUGAGGAUAUAUGAUUGUGUGGCCUGACAAUCUCAGAAAGUAAAAGCAAAGAAAUUGAAAGACAUGGAAAGAACUAGGCCGGGACCAGCACUGGGCCUUAAUAACCAGUUCACUGAGAUGGUAGGUGCAUUUCUUCUCAUCUCAGAGGAUGUUUCUCUUCCACAGGAAGAGGAAGGAACCAGUUGUUACUGGAUGUGUGGGCUGAGAGCUGUCGGGCAUUUUCAGCAUGCCUCGGUCUCAGCUGUGGGAACUGGGGAUGCAGCUUAGAUUCCCAGGCCCGGGACAGUCGGUAUUACUGCAGUAGUCCGGGGCGUCACAGUUUAGAAAUACAGUAUCUCAGCAAGUUGGAAGGCAGAAAUAAUACCUGGAACACCUCCAGUUCCCAGAAACGUGCUAAUUUUCUAAAGGAAAUUCUAAAAAGUAUUUAUUGGGCUCCCAAAUAGCAUGAUUUAUAAAUCCUUUUGUAAAUUUUCCUUUUUUUUUUCUGUCUUCACAUUUUAUACGGCAGAGUUCAAGUCCCAAAUCACGUUUGUCAAUAGGAGUAAGGACAAGUUUCACUGCAUAAAGUAUUCUUUAACUAGGACUAUUUUUAAAAACUUUAAGAGUAUCAAAUUUUUGGUAAAUUCAUUAAUAUGUUUUCUUUCCUUGUGACUUUGAAACUUAAAGAGAAAGAAGGUCAAAUUAGCAUAUUUGUCAGUAUAUCUUAAAAAAAUUGGGACUUAGUGAUUAUUACUAUUUUUAUUAAAAAGCAUAUUUUAUUUGAAGGGGGGGAAAAGAAGCCUCUGGCUUUCACUGUUAAUCUUUUAUUACGGUGAUACUGUUAGUAAACUUUACAGCUAUACAGAUUAUCUAUCUUGAAAAAAAAAUAAACCACGUUCCUUUAACAAACUAAAACACUUUAGCAUUUUAGUUGUUUUAUUUAUUUUUUUACAAUCCCAAAUCAAUUUUUUUUAAAAGGUCAGCCAUCACAUUCGCAACUGUUAGCAGUUUUUAUAACAUAUGGGUCAUGAAGUACUUCAAAAGCAAGGAUCCAACUAAUUUGCAAAUAGUCUCUUUCCAGUCUCUAAUAUUUUCUCUCCUUUCUCUAUUUUAAAGAUUGUAUCUGAAAAAAUAUUAAUGUGUUUUCUGUUUCUAAAUGGCAAGAGAUCUUUGAAAAUGUUGUGUUUUUCCUCAUUUACUUGUUAGUUAUCAUGUAUGUUCUGUUUUUUAAAUGUCUUUG
rnacentral:lncRNA from 10 species